rnacentral:lncRNA from 1 species
AUUAGCAGAUAAUUUAUACUGAUCAUUGCUUAAAGAAAUUUUACGUUUAAUCUUAUCAUGCAAGUCAUGAAUAUGAUCAGCAAAAGCUUGAGCAGAGGCAGCAGGAUGAAAAUUGGGAGGCAAGGAGAUUAAAUCAAGCAGCCGGCGAGGAGAGAAACCUUGAACAACCUCAAAGGGACUAUGACCGGUAGACUAUUAACAGAAUUAUUGUAAGCAAACUCAACGGUGGGCAACACAAGAUCCCAAUUCCCUAGUUUAUCCCCAACUAAGCAACGAAGGAGAUUGCCCAAACUACGGUUUACAACUUCAGUUUGACCAUCGAUUUGGAGGUGAAAUGCAGAAGAGAACUUAAGCGCCGUCCCAAAGAGUUCCCACAGUAUCUUCCAAAGGUAACUAACAAUCUUGACAUCACGAUCCGACACGAUACUAACUGGCAGGCCAUGGAGACGGACAACUUCGUUGAAAAACAACUUUACAAUGUAGGACGCAUCAGAGGACUUAGAACAUGGGAUGAAAUGUCCCAUUUUAGAAAACCUAUCGACCACCACAAAAAUGGAAUCAUGACCCCGAGCUGUUUUAGGUAACCCGAGAAUGAAGUCCAUACUAAGGUCACGCUAAGAAGUACGAGAAAUAGGAAAAAUAGUAUACAUCCCAGUAUUUUGACAUCAUACCUUACCUAAUUGAAACAUACAACACUGAGAGACAAUGCGAGCAAUGUCUCUCUUAAGGAAUGGCCAAUAAAAUUGAUCUUCAGUUAAGGUGAUUGUUUUAUCUCAACUAAAAUGACUAGCAAGAUCCCCUACGUGUAGUUCCCAGACUAAGAAGUCACGAUGUGAAGUACAGGGGAUACAUAACUUGGUACCUUUGAAAAGAUAAUCAUCUUUAAGUAAGAAAGAAUCAUGGUUAAGGGAAGGAUUGUCCAAAAGGUCCUAAAAAUGGUGCUAAAGACAGGACAAUUAGGAUAAUCGUCCUUCAAGUGCUCAAAUCCCACCACAGUGUGCUCAUCGACUCAAGCACCGUAGUGAUACAACUAAGAGCAUCAGUCAUUUUUUUACUUUUAACACCGACCCGAUGAUGGAGAACAAAAGUGUACUCCUGAAGAAACUCAACCCACUUAACAUGCCGCUCACUUAAAUGGAACUGGGAGUGAAGGAAACAAAGAGCCUAAUGAUUAGAGUAUAGAAGAAACUCCUGAGGCAAUAAGUAAAAUCGCCAAUAACGAAGAGAUUGGAUAAAGGCAUAGAACUCAUUGUCAUAGGUAGAAUACUUCUGCCUAGCUUGGUUCAGCUUUUUCCUGAAGAAGGCAAUGGGAUAACCUUCUUGACUUAAAAUACUUCAUAUACCCAUACCGAAAGCAUCACAAGCAACCUCAAAAACCUUAGAAAGAUCCGGGUGGCGUAAAAUGGGAGCUUGUUGCCUGACAGCUAAGAAGGCUUUUUAGGCAGAAAGGGUCCAACGAAAAUCCCUUUUUUUCAUGCACUCAGUGAUGGGAGAAGUGAGGGAGCUAAAACCUUUAAUGAAUCUCCUAUAGGAAGAUACAAGCCCAUGAAAGCUACGUAUCUCAGUUAAUGUGGAAGGCAUAGGCCAAUCCCGAAUAAAAGAGAUUUUAGCGGGGUCAAAAGAAAUACUUUGUACUGAAAUGAUGAACCCUAGGAAGAAUACAUGGGACUGGAAAAAUGAAAACUUUUUUAGGUUAGCGUAUAACUGCGCAGAGCGAAGAGUAAGAAAGUCCUAAUGAAGGUGAUCUAAGUGAGAUUCUUGUGAUCGACUAUAAAUCAGAAUGUCAUCAAAAUAGACGACAAGAAACUUCCCAAUAAAAGGACGUAAGACAUGAGUCAUGACCCGCAUCAAAGUGCUAGGAGCAUUAGAUAACUCGAAAGGCAUCACCAACCAUUCAUACAAGUUAUCUUGGGUCUUAAAUGCUGUGUUCCAUUCAUCUCAGGGUCUAAUCUUUAUUUGAUGAGAGCCACUUCGUAGAUCAAUCUUGGAGAACCACAAAGAUCCUGCCAACUCAUCCAACAUAUCCUCAAGUCGUGGAAUAGGGAAGCGGUACUUAACUGUCAUUUUGUUGAUGGCACGACUAUCAACACACAUGCGCCAUGAGCCGUCCUUCUUAGGGGUGAGUAAAACUAGUACUAGGGCUAAGGCUAGGGCGAAUAAAGUCUUUAUUGAGUAGAGCUUCAAUUUGCCUAUUGAGUUCAGCUCGCUCAGUAAGGUUUAUUCUAUAACGGGGUUGAUUUGGCAACUGGAAGCCAUGUACAAGAUUGAUGGCAUGUUGAAUAUCCCGCAUAGGAGGAAGCUCAUCAAGUAGGUCGACGGGCAUAAUAUCAUUAAACUCGUCGAGUAAAGGAGUUACUUCGGGUGGGAUGUCUAUGGGAGGAUCAAGAGAGGUUUGGGAAUACGCUUUAGCAACUACGACAAACAUAAGUCCAGCAUCUUGACCUUCACAUUCAAAAUCUUUAAGAGACAAUUGUUGGAUACAACCGUCUGUAACACCCUUGGGUGUAGAGAUGGAAGUUGUCUUCUUUGGAAGGUCUGAGGGUUUGGCCGGUAGAAGGCGAAUAGUUUUGCCAUCGUGGAGAAAUUCAUGUGUUGUUACGCCCGAAAUGCUUAACAUCAUGAUCAUAAAGCCAAGGGUGAUCCAAAAGGAUGUGAGCAAUGUCCAUAGGCAAGACAUCAAAUGUCUUCCAAAAAAAAUAGACCCAAUUUAAGGGGUACGAGACAGCGAUGAGUGACAGGCAAAGAGGUUCGAUCUAUCCACGCCACCUUUCGAUCUUGAAGCCAAAUUCGGCCACCGUAGACUUAGAUACGACAUUCAUGGUGCUACCAUUAUCAAUAACUAACUUGCAAAAUCGAGAGUUACAUGGGAUGAAUGUAUGGAAAAUAGAAAAGUUUGCUUCCAUGAGUCUGCAUCAAUAAGGGUGGAAAUGAUACAUCUCAUAACAGAGACAACAACCUUAUUCUCUCAUAACACUCAAAUUGGUCAAGAUCCUCAUCAAAAUGGUCAAUAGGGUGAGGGUCCACCGUGAAACAUUCAUUCUCUAGGGUUGGAAGUAAAGGCUCUUAUGCAAGGGCGAGGGCACGAUUGGAACAUUGAGAGACAAUAUGACCUCGAGCAUGACAGUUAUAGAAAACAAUUUGAGGGUUAAGACCUCAAGUGGUAGCUGGAGAAACGGGUUGACCCCGAUAAAGGUUGCGAGGAAUGGGAAUAGGAGAAGAUCCCACAGUCAAGUGGGUCUACCUCAAUGUAGGGCUACUAGUAGGAGCACCAGUCAGAUGGGGUCAAGAGAGACAUGGGUCAAGUAAGGUGGGAGGGCCAUGCUGCAAAUAUGAAGAACGGGAGUAUCGCUCGUGUUCGAGUCCUUUGUGAAAAGCAUCCUCUAAUGAGUCGGGAUUGAGUAUAAGGACGUGAUGUUUGAGAUCUAGGCACAGGCUAUUAAGGAACCUAGUAAUUGUGACGUCCUCAGGUUCAGCAAAGCCUGAACGAUACCAUAACUCGUCAAAACAAGUCCUGUAGUCUGACAUGGUAGUUGAGUUUUGCCUAUGGUUAAGAAAACGUUCCAACAGUUGAGAACGAUGGUAAGACGGGAAGUAGUUCUUAGUGAAUUUUAGUUUCAUUUCUCCCCAUGUAGUAAUAGACUGGCCUAGGUGAUCGAGGGAUUGUAUCACCAUUUGCCAAUAACGUUUAGCAGAUUUAACAAGUUUCAUCUUGGAGAAACGAAUACGCUGAUAAUUAGGCAUUUGGUACCAAUCGAAGUAUUCUUCGAUGGCAUCAUGCCAAUCAAGAAAGGCUUGGGUUCCAGGCGACCAUCAAAUUUUGGGGCGUCAACUUUGACUUUCUAGUAACAUCAUCAACAAGAUCCAUGUGUUGUUCAUAAUGUAAGUGUGGGGUGGAUGUGGGAAAUCAGGACAAGGGACACUAUUAACAACUGGGUCAUGAAGUUUCGAAUAAGAAAUGUGAUGUGUAGUGCCAAGAUUGUUUGGAUUAGGUAGUAUGCCAUCUGGGAUGUGGAGGAGUGGUUCGUGGAUGUUUUGACCAACUAUGGAGGAAUCGAAUAAAUCAUGCAUAGGACGUUUACUCGGGUUCUGAGAUGAUUGCCCAGUCUGAUCGGUAAAGUUUUGGAUGAGAGUUUUAAGCUCAGCUAGAUCACAGUGUGUUAAAUGAGAGAUUAGUGACUUGCUAUGAGAGUGUAUCAUGAGAUUUGUUAAGAUCCUUUAGAUUCAUUAUGUAUUAUAAUUAGUUG